CCUACGGGGGGCAGCAGUGGGGAAUAUUGGACAAUGGGCGAAAGCCUGAUCCAGCCAUGCCGCGUGUGUGAAGAAGGCCUUCGGGUUGUAAAGCACUUUCAGUGGGGAAGAAAGCCUUGGGGCUAAUACCCUCGAGGAAGGACAUCACCCACAGAAGAAGCACCGGCUAACUCCGUGCCAGCAGCCGCGGUAAUACGGGGGGUGCGAGCGUUAAUCGGAAUUACUGGGCGUAAAGCGCGCGUAGGCGGUCUGAUAAGCCGGUUGUGAAAGCCCCGGGCUCAACCUGGGAACGGCAUCCGGAACUGUCAGGCUAGAGUGCAGGAGAGGAAGGUAGAAUUCCCGGUGUAGCGGUGAAAUGCGUAGAGAUCGGGAGGAAUACCAGUGGCGAAGGCGGCCUUCUGGACUGACACUGACGCUGAGGUGCGAAAGCGUGGGUAGCAAACAGGAUUAGAUACCCGGGUAGU
rnacentral:rRNA from 1 species